CCACGCCCUAAACGAUGUCAACUAGGUGUUGGUGGGGUUAAACCCAUUAGUACCGCAGCUAACGCGUGAAGUUGACCGCCUGGGGAGUACGGCCGCAAGGUUAAAACUCAAAGGAAUUGACGGGGACCCGCACAAGCGGUGGAUGAUGUGGAUUAAUUCGAUGCAACGCGAAAAACCUUACCUACCCUUGACAUGCCAGGAACUUUCCAGAGAUGGAUUGGUGCCCGAAAGGGAGCCUGGACACAGGUGCUGCAUGGCUGUCGUCAGCUCGUGUCGUGAGAUGUUGGGUUAAGUCCCGCAACGAGCGCAACCCUUGUCAUUAAUUGCCAUCAUUUAGUUGGGCACUUUAAUGAGACUGCCGGUGACAAACCGGAGGAAGGUGGGGAUGACGUCAAGUCCUCAUGGCCCUUAUGGGUAGGGCUUCACACGUCAUACAAUGGUCGGUACAGAGGGUUGCCAAGCCGCGAGGUGGAGCUAAUCUCAGAAAGCCGAUCGUAGUCCGGAUUGCAGUCUGCAACUCGACUGCAUGAAGUCGGAAUCGCUAGUAAUCGCGGAUCAGCAUGUCGCGGUGAAUACGUUCCCGGGUCUUGUACACACCGCCCGUCACACCAUGGGAGUGGGUUCUACCAGAAGUAGUUAGCCUAACCGUAAGGAGGGCGAUUACCACGGUAGGAUUCAUGACUGGGGUGAAGUCGUAACAAGGUAACC
rnacentral:rRNA from 1 species